AUUGAACGCUGGCGGCAUGCCUUACACAUGCAAGUCGAACGGUAACAGGUCUUCGGAUGCUGACGAGUGGCGAACGGGUGAGUAAUACAUCGGAACGUGCCCGAUCGUGGGGGAUAACGGAGCGAAAGCUUUGCUAAUACCGCAUACGAUCUACGGAUGAAAGCAGGGGACCGCAAGGCCUUGCGCGGACGGAGCGGCCGAUGGCAGAUUAGGUAGUUGGUGGGAUAAAAGCUUACCAAGCCGACGAUCUGUAGCUGGUCUGAGAGGACGACCAGCCACACUGGGACUGAGACACGGCCCUGACUCCUACGGGAGGCAGCAGUGGGGAAUUUUGGACAAUGGGCGAAAGCCUGAUCCAGCCAUGCCGCGUGCAGGAUGAAGGCCUUCGGGUUGUAAACUGCUUUUGUACGGAACGAAAAGACUCUUUCUAAUAAAGAGGGUCCAUGACGGUACCGUAAGAAUAAGCACCGGCUAACUACGUG
rnacentral:rRNA from 1 species